GGGUUGUGAGGUUAAGCGACUAAGCGUACACGGUGGAUGCCCUGGCAGUCAGAGGCGAUGAAGGACGUGCUAAUCUGCGAUAAGCGCCGGUAAGGUGAUAUGAACCGUUAUAACCGGCGAUUUCCGAAUGGGGAAACCCAGUGUGACUCGUCACACUAUCAUUAACUGAAUCCAUAGGUUAAUGAGGCGAACCGGGGGAACUGAAACAUCUAAGUACCCCGAGGAAAAGAAAUCAACCGAGAUUCCCCCAGUAGCGGCGAGCGAACGGGGAGGAGCCCAGAGCCUGAAUCAGCAUGUGUGUUAGUGGAAGCGUCUGGAAAGGCGCGCGAUACAGGGUGACAGCCCCGUACACAAAAGCGCACAUGCUGUGAGCUCGAUGAGUAGGGCGGGACACGUGGUAUCCUGUCUGAAUAUGGGGGGACCAUCCUCCAAGGCUAAAUACUCCUGACUGACCGAUAGUGAACCAGUACCGUGAGGGAAAGGCGAAAAGAACCCCGGCGAGGGGAGUGAAAAAGAACCUGAAACCGUGUACGUACAAGCAGUGGGAGCACAGGUUUACCUGUGUGACUGCGUACCUUUUGUAUAAUGGGUCAGCGACUUAUAUUCUGUAGCAAGGUUAACCGAAUAGGGGAGCCGGAGGGAAACCGAGUCUUAAUUGGGCGUUAAGUUGCAGGGUAUAGACCCGAAACCCGGUGAUCUAGCCAUGGGCAGGUUGAAGGUUGGGUAACACUAACUGGAGGACCGAACCGACUAAUGUUGAAAAAUUAGCGGAUGACCUGUGGCUGGGGGUGAAAGGCCAAUCAAACCGGGAGAUAGCUGGUUCUCCCCGAAAGCUAUUUAGGUAGCGCCUCGUGAAUUCAUCUCCGGGGGUAGAGCACUGUUUCGGCUAGGGGGCCAUCCCGGCUUACCAACCCGAUGCAAACUGCGAAUACCGGAGAAUGUUAUCACGGGAGACACACGGCGGGUGCUAACGUCCGUCGUGAAGAGGGAAACAACCCAGACCGCCAGCUAAGGUCCCAAAGUCAUGGUUAAGUGGGAAACGAUGUGGGAAGGCCCAGACAGCCAGGAUGUUGGCUUAGAAGCAGCCAUCAUUUAAAGAAAGCGUAAUAGCUCACUGGUCGAGUCGGCCUGCGCGGAAGAUGUAACGGGGCUAAACCAUGCACCGAAGCUGCGGCAGCGACGCUGAUGCGUUGUUGGGUAGGGGAGCGUUCUGUAAGCCUGCGAAGGUGGCCUGUGAGGGUUGCUGGAGGUAUCAGAAGUGCGAAUGCUGACAUAAGUAACGAUAAAGCGGGUGAAAAGCCCGCUCGCCGGAAGACCAAGGGUUCCUGUCCAACGUUAAUCGGGGCAGGGUGAGUCGACCCCUAAGGCGAGGCCGAAAGGCGUAGUCGAUGGGAAACGGGUUAAUAUUCCCGUACUUGGUGUUACUGCGAAGGGGGGACGGAGAAGGCUAUGUUGGCCGGGCGACGGUUGUCCCGGUUUAAGCGUGUAGGUGUGUGUUCCAGGUAAAUCCGGUUCACUUUAACACUGAGGCGUGAUGACGAGGCACUACGGUGCUGAAGCAACAAAUGCCCUGCUUCCAGGAAAAGCCUCUAAGCAUCAGGUAACAUCAAAUCGUACCCCAAACCGACACAGGUGGUCAGGUAGAGAAUACCAAGGCGCUUGAGAGAACUCGGGUGAAGGAACUAGGCAAAAUGGUGCCGUAACUUCGGGAGAAGGCACGCUGACACGUAGGUGAAGUGAUUUACUCAUGGAGCUGAAGUCAGUCGAAGAUACCAGCUGGCUGCAACUGUUUAUUAAAAACACAGCACUGUGCAAACACGAAAGUGGACGUAUACGGUGUGACGCCUGCCCGGUGCCGGAAGGUUAAUUGAUGGGGUCAGCGCAAGCGAAGCUCCUGAUCGAAGCCCCGGUAAACGGCGGCCGUAACUAUAACGGUCCUAAGGUAGCGAAAUUCCUUGUCGGGUAAGUUCCGACCUGCACGAAUGGCGUAAUGAUGGCCAGGCUGUCUCCACCCGAGACUCAGUGAAAUUGAACUCGCUGUGAAGAUGCAGUGUACCCGCGGCAAGACGGAAAGACCCCGUGAACCUUUACUAUAGCUUGACACUGAACAUUGAGCCUUGAUGUGUAGGAUAGGUGGGAGGCUUUGAAGUGUGGACGCCAGUCUGCAUGGAGCCGACCUUGAAAUACCACCCUUUAAUGUUUGAUGUUCUAACGUGGACCCGUGAUCCGGGUUGCGGACAGUGUCUGGUGGGUAGUUUGACUGGGGCGGUCUCCUCCUAAAGAGUAACGGAGGAGCACGAAGGUUGGCUAAUCCUGGUCGGACAUCAGGAGGUUAGUGCAAUGGCAUAAGCCAGCUUGACUGCGAGCGUGACGGCGCGAGCAGGUGCGAAAGCAGGUCAUAGUGAUCCGGUGGUUCUGAAUGGAAGGGCCAUCGCUCAACGGAUAAAAGGUACUCCGGGGAUAACAGGCUGAUACCGCCCAAGAGUUCAUAUCGACGGCGGUGUUUGGCACCUCGAUGUCGGCUCAUCACAUCCUGGGGCUGAAGUAGGUCCCAAGGGUAUGGCUGUUCGCCAUUUAAAGUGGUACGCGAGCUGGGUUUAGAACGUCGUGAGACAGUUCGGUCCCUAUCUGCCGUGGGCGCUGGAGAACUGAGGGGGGCUGCUCCUAGUACGAGAGGACCGGAGUGGACGCAUCACUGGUGUUCGGGUUGUCAUGCCAAUGGCACUGCCCGGUAGCUAAAUGCGGAAGAGAUAAGUGCUGAAAGCAUCUAAGCACGAAACUUGCCCCGAGAUGAGUUCUCCCUGAGACUUAAAGUCUCCUGAAGGAACGUUGAAGACGACGACGUUGAUAGGCCGGGUGUGUAAGCGCAGCGAUGCGUUGAGCUAACCGGUACUAAUGAACCGUGAGGCUUAACCUUACAACGCCGAAG
rnacentral:rRNA from 2 species